GCCGUCUCAACGGGGUGCAAAAAACGAUUUAUUGCUGAGAUAUACCCAAAAUAAUUGGAGUUGCAGGUAGGCGGCGACCGAGCGAAUCCCCAACAACAUAGAAUUACUAUGUGACUGGGGUGAGAGAGAGAAGCCAACACCGCUGCAACUUCAAGUAUGAAGGGGAUAAACCCGUCGAACCUGAUCCGGUCAAUACCGGCGGAGGGAUUUGAGCCCAGCGAACCG
rnacentral:ncRNA from 1 species